GGGACUAUAGCUCAGUUGGUUAGAGCGCACCCCUGAUAAGGGUGAGGUCCCAGGUUCAAGUCCUGGUAGUCCCACCA
rnacentral:tRNA from 1 species